rnacentral:rRNA from 1 species
GCAUAUCAAUAAGCGGAGGAAAAGAAACCAACAGGGAUUGCUCUAGUAACGGCGAGUGAAGCAGCAAUAGCUCAAAUUUGAAAUCUGGCGUCUUCGGCGUCCGAGUUGUAAUUUGUAGAGGAUGCUUCUGGGCAGCCACCGACCUAAGUUCCUUGGAACAGGACGUCAUAGAGGGUGAGAAUCCCGUAUGCGGUCGGAAAGGCACCCUACACGUAGCUCCUUCGACGAGUCGAGUUGUUUGGGAAUGCAGCUCUAAAUGGGAGGUAAAUUUCUUCUAAAGCUAAACAUUGGCCAGAGACCGAUAGCGCACAAGUAGAGUGAUCGAAAGAUGAAAAGCACUUUGGAAAGAGAGUUAAAAAGCACGUGAAAUUGUUGAAAGGGAAGGGAUUGCAACCAGACUUGCUCGCGGUGUUCCGCCGGUCUUCUGACCGGUCUACUCGCCGCGUUGCAGGCCAGCAUCGUCUGGUGCCGCUGGAUAAGACUUGAGGAAUGUAGCUCCCUCGGGAGUGUUAUAGCCUCUUGUGAUGCAGCGAGCGCCGGGCGAGGUCCGCGCUUCGGCUAGGAUGCUGGCGUAAUGGUUGUAAUCCGCCCGUCUUGAAACACGGACC